GCGGCCGCGGCCGCGGCCGGGCCGCCCCCACCUGCGCCGCGCUGCGCGCGCACGUACUCGGGCCACGCGGAGCGCAGCGGGCCGUUCCGGGCCUGGCACUGCGCCCCCCCGGCGSCCCCGCGGCCGUUCCCGCCUCCCCCCGCCCCGCCCCCGGAUGUGGCGGCGCGGCCGUUCCGGGCCGUUGUCACCGACGCUCCGCGGUCGCUGGGCUGUCGGCGCGGAGCCGAGCGGGCCACGGGGGGAGCCCGGCCGGGAUACCACUCUGUGCUAUGAGGAAAUGUGCCUUCAAGGAAAAGGGGCAGCAACAUCCCACUGUGUUCCCAGGAGUCCCAGGAGCUUUAUGAGAAUCGAGAUUGUUGCCUUAGGAAAAGAGCUGUUAGAAAUUUGGAAACUGGUGAUGCUUCCUAAUGGCUGGUGA
ensembl:lncRNA